rnacentral:lncRNA from 1 species
AGAUGGACAUGUGACCCUCUCUUGGCCAAUCAGAGGCUUUCCUGCUGGAAGGGCUGCUGGAAGCCAUCUUCGCACGGUUCUUCCCUUGGCUUUAGAGCCCCGAAGCGCUCUUUGACUUGAGCUGCUUUGCAUUCUCUCUGUCCUGCCAUCGAGAAAGUUCUGAGCGGCUCAGAAGUAAUACUGACACUCUAUCCCUCCGAGGAAUUCUGCCCCAGACAGCAGAGAGAUGGGGGGCAGGGGACACAUGGCCAUGAGGACAGAGAGCCCUGAGAGGGACUGGGGAAUCGAGACAUCGUUUUCAAAUAAUUGCAGCAAUCAAGAGAGACUGUACAUCCCAUCCCAGACAAAGGGAGACCUGUGAGUCCUGAGUGAGGGCUGUUGAAAAAUGUGCUCUUUCCUCAUCAGAAAAUGAGAGAAUGGAGCUGGGCGCAGUGGUUCACGCCUGUAAUCCCUGCACUUUGGGAGGCCGAGGCAGGCAAAUCACCUGAGGUCAGGAGUUCCAGACCGGCUGGGCAACAUGGUGAAACCCUGUCUCUACUAAAAAUAUGAAAAAAAGUUAGCCAGGCGUCCGCGUGCCUGUAAUUCCAGCUACUCAGGAGACUGAGGCAGGAGAAUCGCUUGAACCUGGGAGGCAGAGGUUGCAGUGAGCCGAGAUCACGCCACUGCACUCCAGCCUGGGCGAUAAGAGUGAAACUCUGUCUCAAAAUAAAUAAAUAAAUAAAUAAAUAAAUAAUCUUAAAAAAAAUAAAAAGAAAACUAGAGAAUGAUGACUUCUGUUUACCAUGUGCCUGGUUUCCUGUCCUGUCUGUGAUCCUGUUGCUGUUUGCUGUCAACUGUUCCUGCUUCAGUGAUAUUAGAAGGGUUCAAGGAGAAUGUGGGUCCCCUCCUUGCCUGCUCUGGGCCUUCCCCUGUUUCUGGCCUGUUUCAUCUCCACCCCCGUUGGAUCUGAGCUCCUUGAGGGUGGCCCCUACACCCUGCAGUGCUGAGCAUUGGGAGGUGUGAGGGUUGCUGAAGGCUGGGGGUUGGUGCUUUUCUUCAUUCAGCAGUCAUCAUUUAUUGAGCACCCACUGUUUGCCAGCUCCUUGGCUAAGCAUUUCAAGCCCUGUUCCAUGGGCUCAGUCUUCCAGGGGCUGGCCGCUAACUACGCAUCGAUUGAUUUCCAGAAGGACAGAAGCACAUAGCAGGGCCUGGUCUCCACUGGGGGUGCCAGGAGCUG